GGAGAUUUAGCUCAGUGGUAGAGCCCUUGCCUAGCAAGCACAAGGCCCUGGGUUCGGCCCCCAGCUCCC
rnacentral:tRNA from 1 species